rnacentral:miRNA from 1 species
CGGACCUCAGUUGGCAUGUGC